rnacentral:rRNA from 1 species
UCGGGAAUAUUGGGCAAUGGGCGCAAGCCUGACCCAGCGACGCCGCGUGAGGGAUGAAGGCCUUCGGGUCGUAAACCUCUGUCGGGAGGGAAGAAUGGCGGUGAGGCGAAUAGUCUCGCUGUCUGACGGUACCUCCAAAGGAAGCGCCGGCUAACUCCGUGCCAGCAGCCGCGGUAAUACGGAGGGCGCAAGCGUUGUUCGGAAUCACUGGGCGUAAAGCGCGUGUAGGCGGCCGGGCAAGUCGGAUGUGAAAUCCCGAGGCUCAACCUCGGAACUGCAUUCGAAACUGCUCGGCUCGAGUCCCGGAGAGGAUGGCGGAAUUCCCGGUGUAGGGGUGAAAUCCGUAGAUAUCGGGAGGAACACCAGUGGCGAAGGCGGCCAUCUGGACGGUGACUGACGCCGAGACGCGAAAGCGUGGGGAGCAAACAGGAUUAGAUACCCUGGUAGUCCACGCCGUAAACGGUGAGUGCUAGACGUCGCGGGUAUUGACCCCCGCGGUGUCGAAGCUAACGCGUUAAGCACUCCGCCUGGGGAGUACGGCCGCAAGGCUA